CCUACGGGGCGCUGCAGUGGGGAAUUUUGGACAAUGGGCGCAAGCCUGAUCCAGCUAUUCCGCGUGUGGGAUGACGGCCCUCGGGUUGUAAACCACUUUAGUAGAGAACGAAAAGGAGCUAUCGAAUAAAUAGCUCUGCUGACGGUACUCUAAGAAUAAGCACCGGCUAACUACGUGCCAGCAGCCGCGGUAAUACGUAGGGUGCGAGCGUUAAUCGGAAUUACUGGGCGUAAAGGGUGCGUAGGCGGAAUAUCAAGUCCGCGGGAAAAAUUCGGGGCUAAACCCCGUCGUGCCGUUGAAACUGAUGUUCUUGAGUGGGCGAGAAGUAUGCGGAAUGCGUGGUGUAGCGGUGAAAUGCAUAGAUAUCACGCAGAACUCCGAUUGCGAAGGCAGCAUACCGGCGCCCAACUGACGCUGAAGCACGAAAGCGUGGGUAUCGAACAGGAUUAGAUACCCGGGUAGUC
rnacentral:rRNA from 1 species